UCCUCAGCUGUGGAACGCUGCGUGCGUGGUGCACAGCUACCAGCUCGGAUGGGUAUUUGAGAAUUUACCGCACUGACUUGGACCAGACGGAAAGCAGAGAAGAGGGAGAGCUACACCUGACUGUCCACCAUUCCCGCCAGCCCCAACGUCGGCUUUUCACUUCAUGUUUGGGGACAAUUACACCUCCUCAUGACAGAUCAGAAGUUUCAGAAAAAAGGUCCGCUGAUUUCCGCAACAGGGUAUGAGGUGGCCAGCUGCUGAUGCCAGCUGCAUGGACUCCUAUACUUGCUGAUUCUUCUGGAGCUGGAGAUGAACUCGGACCUCAAGGCCCAGCUCAGGGAACUGAUUAUUACAGCAGCGAGGGAAACUGAAGUUGGUGGUGGUGAGAAAGUUAUCAUGGGCAGGUACAGCAGCUCACGCCUGGAAUCCCAGCACUGUGGGGAGCUGAGG
rnacentral:lncRNA from 10 species